AGAGUUUGAUCAUGGCUCAGGAUGAACGCUGGCGGCGUGCCUAAUACAUGCAAGUCGAGCGAACGGACGAGAAGCUUGCUUCUCUGAUGUUAGCGGCGGACGGGUGAGUAACACGUGGAUAACCCACCUAUAAGACUGGGAUAACUUCGGGAAACCGGAGCUAAUACCGGAUAAUAUUUUGAACCGCAUGGUUCAAAAGUGAAAGACGGUCUUGCUGUCACUUAUAGAUGGAUCCGCGCUGCAUUAGCUAGUUGGUAAGGUAACGGCUUACCAAGGCAACGAUGCAUAGCCGACCUGAGAGGGUGAUCGGCCACACUGGAACUGGGACACGGUCCAGACUCCUACGGGAGGCAGCAGUAGGGAAUCUUCCGCAAUGGGCGAAAGCCUGACGGAGCAACGCCGCGUGAGUGAUGAAGGUCUUCGGAUCGUAAAACUCUGUUAUUAGGGAAGAACAUAUGUGUAAGUAACUGUGCACAUCUUGACGGUACCUAAUCAGAAAGCCACGGCUAACUACGUGCCAGCAGCCGCGGUAAUACGUAGGUGGCAAGCGUUAUCCGGAAUUAUUGGGCGUAAAGCGCGCGUAGGCGGUUUUUUAAGUCUGAUGUGAAAGCCCACGGCUCAACCGUGGAGGGUCAUUGGAAACUGGAAAACUUGAGUGCAGAAGAGGAAAGUGGAAUUCCAUGUGUAGCGGUGAAAUGCGCAGAGAUAUGGAGGAACACCAGUGGCGAAGGCGACUUUCUGGUCUGUAACUGACGCUGAUGUGCGAAAGCGUGGGGAUCAAACAGGAUUAGAUACCCUGGUAGUCC
rnacentral:rRNA from 1 species